CUGAUUCCACCUACAGCAAAGCUGGAUGCUAUGGUUGGCAGAGGCAAGCCCCUUGCCUGCACUUCAGGCCAAAGCCGGGAUGUGGCCUAGAUGGUUCCUAAGGUCCCUGACAGUCCUGAGAUCUUUCAUCUUGUCUAUUUCAGGUCAAAGCUUCUCAGAUGACCAAGAUGGUGCUGCCGAUGGUGUUGAGGACGGAGAACCCACCAAGCCCCGUUAGGAGCCACCUAGACUGGAUGCAGAGCACAAUGGAAUGCAGCCUGGCUCUGUCGCCCAGGCUGGAGUGCAGUGGCGUGACCUGGGCUCACUGCAAGCUCCGCCUCUUGGGUUCACAUGAUUCUCCUGCCUCAGCCUCCUGAGUAGCUGGGACUACAGGUGCCGCCACCAUGCUCAGCUAAUUUUUUGUAUUUUUAGUAGAGAUGGAGUUUCACCAUGUCGGCCAGCCUGGUCUCAAACUCCUGACCUCAAGUGAUCCACCCGCCUCAGCCUCCCAAAAUGCUGGGAUUCCAGGCAUGAGCACCGCUCCCAGCCUCCACAUUUCUAAAAUUGAAGUUCU
rnacentral:lncRNA from 1 species